rnacentral:rRNA from 1 species
UACGUAGGGUGCGAGCGUUGUCCGGAAUUAUUGGGCGUAAAGGGCUCGUAGGCGGUCUGUCGCGUCGGGAGUGAAAACUCAGGGCUUAACCCUGAGCCUGCUUCCGAUACGGGCAGACUGGAGGUAUGCAGGGGAGAACGGAAUUCCUGGUGUAGCGGUGAAAUGCGCAGAUAUCAGGAAGAACACCGAUGGCGAAGGCAGUGGGCUGGGCCGGUACUGACGCUGAGGAGCGAAAGCGUGGGGAGCGAACAGG